GUGAUAAGGAAUUACAAGACCACCCAACAUUGUAAGGACUCAGAAAAGCCUUCUGAGGCCUCAGGGGUGCCCAGAGUUGACGAGGUGAGUGAAGGCAGAUUAUUCCAGGAUGAGGAUAAGCAUGUAUAAAAAGCUUGAAAGUGAAAGUGCACGGUAGUUCCAGAGCACUGCAUGAUUUCCAGUACAGCUGUAGAGUGAAGAAACAGGGGCCUGGCCAGUGGUAAGGCAGAGAAGUGAAAAAAAUCCAGAUAUCACUCUGCUUUCAGUUUGAAGAAUGGAUUAUAAAGGGACAAUGGCAAAAAUGUCUCAAGAAUUUGGUUCGUGUUGUAAGGUUUCUGCAGUGCACGUGGAGAAAGUGCAACUCGAAAAGACAGAAAAGAAUAUGAAGAAUGUUCAAGUUUCUGUAUCGGAUACUUUGUGGCUCCAUCUGCAACUCUUACUCACUCGCCUCUGUAAUGCACAGCACUGGUCCUUACGCUGAGCAGACAUUCUGGGGAUGAUCUGCGAAAGGAGAAGAACAGAAUAUUGCAGACUUUGGCAUAAGAUUCCAGGCUCCUUGAGGCCACAGUAUCGGACCUGGAAGCAAUGAGAAAUUCAGCUUCCUCACUGGAAGGAAUAUUCCAGUAUUCCUUACUGGAAUGAAAAAACUCUGGCACCAUCAGGAAAGAUAAUUGGCCUGAUAUUAGGAAGAGAAAACUUGUCCUUUAACAAUUAGAGCUUGAAUUGAAGGGAGUGAUAAACUUAAUCCUCAUUAUUUGACAAAGCAAGAGAGCAGUACUGAAGAUACCUCAUAAGCUAGAUAAACAUUCGUUCUAUGACUGUAUAAUUCUGUAGGUGCCUCAUUUUAUGUGCUUUGUAGUAUCCAUUUACAAAUUUGAUUCUCUGCAGUAAAAUAGUUUCCUAGACAAAAUGCCUUUGAAUAUACUGCAGCCAAAUAGAGAUUUUAGAAUACCUGAGCAUCUGCAAUAUAUUUACUGCAGGUGUUGCAGCGAUGAGAUAUAUAUAUAUAUAUGUAAGAUGAUUUUUAAAAUAAGACAUUUUGAAGAUUACUGAAAAUGGCAAUGGAACAGAUAGCUUAAUUCAAUAUACUAUCAAAAUUUAUAGAAAUUAAUUAUUAUAGGCUGUCUCGGAGUAGGGUGAGAAUACUUUAUCAUGUACCAGGGGAGGAAUCUGAGUUGGCUCCUGAAAUGUGGUUCAGAUUUACAUUGGUUGAGGAGAAUGGAGACCCCAGUGGGCGUGUUAAAGGAGGAAGACUAAACGUAUGUUCAGAGAAUGUGGCUGAAACUAUCAGCCUGAGAGGGACAGCAUAUUUUAGAGUCUAAGGGCUCUGAAAAAGCUAAUUUAGUCUUCAUUUUUGAAAACCUUGAAUGUCAGGCAAAGAGUGCAAUUUACCCUGUAGGCAAGAGAAAAUCACAUUUUGAGCAGGGUCAUGAUGUGAUAGAAGAUGCAUUUUAGGAAUAUUGACAUAUCAGAAGUAUGAAAAAUGAAUUGCAAGAUGGAAAGAGAAUGGUUCUAGAAGAAGGAUGGUUCUUCAAGAAGAAUGGAAGCUAUCCUCGAAGGGAAUUUAGCCUGCACAGGAAUAAUAAAAUGCCUUUUUAGAAACUGCUGAAUACCAUUCGGGCAUGCAGUAAAGUGGAAAGUAAAGAAUUAGGAACUGAUCCUAAAUUUUUAUUAUUGAUAAGACUGAGUCACUAAAUAUUUUGGGAAAAGUAAAGGAGUCACAGCACUCUACUGAUAAUAAUAAAAUUAAAUUAGGGUCAUUUUAUCUCAGAAAUACAUAAUUAUUCUUUAAAAUUAAAAACUACAGUUUUAGUAAUGUAUUUUAUUAUAUCCCAAGUUAAACUAUAUAUAUAUAUAGCUGGAAAAAUAUAAAGAUAGAUCUGAAUAUAUUUUACCUUUGAAGGGGUCCAUAUUGCUUCUAUAUUUAAUAUAGAUAGAUAUAUUUUCAGUAAUUUGUAUGGUUUCAAGAAAGAAAACAUUAUAAUCUCUGUGUUGAGGGAAAAAGUAUCUGAUAUUUUUUCAAUAUUAAAAAAUAUAUUCCUCAAUGAAAUGAAGAAUAUUUUCUUGAGAAAAUAUAAUAGACUUUUUAAUUUGAGGUAAAAUAUUUCUAAUGUAAUUCAAGGAAGUAGGAGAAAAACUCUCUCGUGAGUAACAGACUUUUCCCUGAGAUCUCCCUGGGAUUGUCGAAGAUAGGUAAAGAAUGUUAGCCAAGCUUUAUUUAUGGACCAGAAAGCAAACUGCAUUAAAAUAUGUAACAUAGAGUCUUGAGACUCUAACGACGUUUAUGUCAGUGCAUAUGUCACAUUUCUCUCUCUUGAAUUCAAGCUAAAUCUUUCCCAGUACCACUGUCAAACUUGCCUUAUCAUGAUUUCCAUAAUAUACAGGAGAUUCUAAGAGCGCAAAUUACAUCAAAAUACACUUGUGUAUAAUGUACUAAAACGGGAGCCCAGAAUUCGUAAUAAAGCCACCAGUAGUCAACCUUAUGCAUAAUUCAGGAAUGUCUUCUCCUUCUAUAAACAUUUUUUUCCCCUUCAGUUGAGUCCUCUGAUUCCUUCAUGGUCCAUUUCUGCUGUGGUUGCUCUUGAUUUCCACGUCAAACUUGUAAUUACUUGGGUAUCUUUUUUUUUUUUUUUGCUAAAAUUUGUUAUACUUGGUAUACAUGUUAAUCCUAUAAGUCAAUUCUCAGAAUAUACCCUGUACAGUCAUUAUGCAUGAUGUUUAUGAUUUUGGUUCAAAAACUGCAAUUCAAACACAUAUAUUUUCUCCUUUUGAAAAUUCACAUGGAAAUGAAAGAAUAAAAGAGAGGAAGAUUUUGAUCCAUUGUAAACAGACAUAAAAAUAAACAGUCUAUAAUGAGA